rnacentral:pre_miRNA from 1 species
UGUUUGGGCCUCACUUCGAGCGGUAUUCAACGACUAUCUCAACCGAUAUACAUACCAACCGAGUUGAUAUGUUGUUUGAAUGCCCCUUGAACUCGAGGCCCCUAGUAAACA